rnacentral:rRNA from 1 species
ACGCUCGACACCUACGGGAAGCAGCAGUGGGGAAUAUUGCACAAUGGGGGAAACCCUGAUGCAGCGACGCCGCGUGGAGGAAGAAGGUCUUCGGAUUGUAAACUCCUGUUGUUGGGGAAAAAGAGGAUGGUACCCAACAAGGAAGUGACGGCUAACUACGUGCAGCAGCCGCGGUAAUCUGAGCGGGCUGGCAAGGC